rnacentral:rRNA from 1 species
AUUGAACGCUGGCGGCAUGCCUUACACAUGCAAGUCGAACGGUAACAGGUCUUCGGAUGCUGACGAGUGGCGAACGGGUGAGUAAUACAUCGGAACGCGCCCGAGAGUGGGGGGUAACGAAGCGAAAGCUUUGCUAAUACCGCAUACGAUCUCAGGAUGAAAGCAGGGGACCGCAAGGCCUUGCGCUCACGGAGCGGCCGAUGGCAGAUUAGGUAGUUGGUGGGAUAAAAGCUUACCAAGCCGACGAUCUGUAGCUGGUCUGAGAGGACGACCGCCCACACUGGGACUGAGACACGGCCCAGACUCCUACGGGAGGCAGCAGUGGGGAAUUUUGGACAAUGGGUGCAAGCCUGAUCCAGCCAUGCCGCGUGCAGGAUGAAGGCCUUCGGGUUGUAAACUGCUUUUGUACGGAACGAAAAGACUCCUUCUAAUAAAGGGGGUCCAUGACGGUACCGUAAGAAUAAGCACCGGCUAACUACGUGCCAGCAGCCGCCGUAAAAC